ensembl:lncRNA
CAAAUCCAAUCACAUGAAAAAGAAAAGUCUUAACUUCUGGAGGUUCCUACGUAUGAGUAUUUUUUCGUGAGCUUGAUUAGGCUUUCACCUAGCAUUUAAGAUUCAGAGUAUAAACUGUCCUAAGCUGUUCCCAAAUCUAAACAGAUAAGGAUUAGAAAAAUCAACUUCUAUACAUUUGAAGUCAGUUCAGAUCCAGCAGGAGAAUACUGACAUCCAACUGUCUAAGUUCUGCUUCUGAAAGAGCCUGAAGACAAAGGGUAGAGCACUCUCUUCCCAGCAUUCUAUUCCUUUUCUUCAUUUUUAAGCCAAGACAGCCAGCUACUGGGUGCUGUGGAUCUAACCCAGUACCAACUAUCUAUUGAUCCCUCCUGAGGUUCUUCAACCUUCCUCCCUCUUCUCCCAGUGGGACAGAUGAAAGGACAAUGCACGUGGACUCAAAGCCUUUCUUUGUCAACUUGCAGUCUUGUCUACCUUUAGUGGGGAUCCAGACACUUACUACUUUGAAUUUGUCUUCGACCUGGUGUCCUUGGGUCAGCAGAUGUCAACUCCCUUUGGAAAAGUGAGCCAGCAGCUAUGCAAAACACAGAAGCCUGGCAGGAUGCUGAGAGAAUAAGAAACCCAUACAUCUACUGACUCUCCUGCCUUCAAAUUCCAGCCAGUAUGAGAGGACAUCAGUGGUGUUCCCCAGAGCUCUUUGCAUAACAUUUGACUCAGGUGUUCGAUUUUCGACCAGUGAAGGUAAGAAGAGAUGACCUCUGAGAUUCUUUCCAACUCUGAAAGCCCAUAUGAGGGGUCUGCAAGGAAACAGAAAAACUUGUCUGGUGCAUAAGGCUGCUCUGAAAGAAAUCACAGACCAGUCAGAAAGCCAAAUUUCAGUCUUUUGGGAAUUUAGUUUUCUAGAAGCUGAAGCAAUGACAAUAGCAUAUCCCCAUUUCAACCACAAACUGAG